UACGUAGGGUGCAAGCGUUAAUCGGAAUUACUGGGCGUAAAGCGUGCGCAGGCGGUUUUGUAAGUUUGUCGUGAAAUCCCCGGGCUCAACCUGGGAAUGGCGAUGAAGACUGCAAGGCUAGAAUCUGGCAGAGGGGGGUAGAAUUCCACGUGUAGCAGUGAAAUGCGUAGAGAUGUGGAGGAACACCGAUGGCGAAGGCAGCCCCCUGGGUCAAGAUUGACGCUCCAUGC
rnacentral:rRNA from 1 species